rnacentral:rRNA from 1 species
GACGAACGCUGGCGGCGUGCUUAACACAUGCAAGUCGAACGGUGAAGGGAUCAGCUUGCUGGUUCUGGAUGAGUGGCGAACGGGUGAGUAACACGUGAGUAACCUGCCCCCUUCUUCUGGAUAACCGCAUGAAAGUGUGGCUAAUACGGGAUAUUCUGGGUCUGUCGCAUGAUGGGUCUGGGAAAGAUAUUGUUUCGGUGGGGGAUGGGCUCGCGGCCUAUCAGCUUGUUGGUGGGGUGAUGGCCUACCAAGGCGGUGACGGGUAGCCGGCCUGAGAGGGUGGAGGGUCACACUGGGACUGAGACACGGCCCAGACUCCUACGGGAGGCAGCAGUGGGGAAGAUUGCACAAUGGGCGCAAGCCUGAUGCAGCGACGCCGCGUGAGGGAGGGAGGCCUUCGGGUUGUAAACCUCUUUCGCCAGUGAAGCAGGCCUGCUCCGUGUGGGUGGGUUGACGGUAGCUGGAUAAGAAGCGCCGGCUAACUACGUG